UUAAAACGGCCCAAGACCUAAAAAGUAGAAACGGAAGAAAAAUCUAGAAACAAUAAAGAAAACAAAAAGAAAAAUGCCUAGUCAGAUCAUCAAAAAUCGGCACCCAUUUCCCCAUUAACCAUAAUUUCCUCCACUAGUUCCAGUUCACUGAGAAGACCAGUGCACACUUCUCAUUAUUGAGACCGUUCUUCUCCUCCACAAAUCACUCCUCCACAAGACGCGAUUCAAUCGGGUUCCCUAGCCCACCUAUCUCCAUCCGCCGGAGAGCAUAAACUGGAAUACUUCCUACCAAGUCAAGAUAAGUCGAGAUUGGGAUUAGAUCGGGGAAAAAGAAAAGUGGACGAAUAGUCGAUAAUUUUCAUCCGAGCAACUCGAGACGGGAUUUAGCUCGGACGAGUAAUCUCAUUGACCUUGUUAUAGAAAGGAUUUAACCUGGAUAGCUCGUGAAGGUUGGAAAAUCAUUGGAUCAUCGCCACACUAUCAACUAGUCAUUUUGGCAUAAUGACAUGUAUAAGACAACUUGGCCAAUAGUGGCUUGAAAUGUUAUUUUGUAACCUAGCCAUUGGAAUGGCUAGUAAUGGUUCAUUUGGGUAUGACUAAGUAGAUUAUUAUGAUAUAUAUAUACACGUGUUAUUUUAAGAA